rnacentral:pre_miRNA from 14 species
CUCUAGUGGGUUUGAAAGACCCCCAGAGCGGGGAGACCCUCACUCAAGUCUUGGGAUGAUGUGACCCCCCCAAGAACUCACGUGAGACC